rnacentral:lncRNA from 1 species
AUGGCCACAGGCUCAGAGCACAGAACAGUGCGGAGGGCUGUUUUCUGUAGUGUCACCAUCGUUGUCAACUGGUCUGUAAGAAGAAAAGCAGUACAGAACAGGCCUCAAGCCCCAACCGAGUCAGGUCAAAGCAGCUGGAAGCCUGUGUCAGCCUCUAGUCCACAAACCAUAGCAGCUCACUGGAGACGGGGCAUCAGAGAGACACCCUACUUCUUUUCCCUUCCUGGAAGCAAGACAGCAGGUAGAACUGGGUCAGAGAGAACCCAGACAGUUGCCCCACAAUCUCACUGUGUGAGCAGGAAGAGAAAAGGGGCCCUCCAUCAACAAAGAAGAGAGCCCUGACCAACACUGAAUCUGCUCCUGCAUUGUGCUUGGACUUCCAGACUCCAGAACUGUGAGUGACAGACACAUUUCUGUUGUAUGAAAGCUACCCAGUCUGUAGUAUUUUGUAAUCGUCAGAAGAACAUACCAAGACUAAGCAGGAUAGAGUCCUGCACAGCACAAGCCCUGCUUCUUUUCCACUUGCUCAUUCAUGGCCCUUCAAUUCCUGUUCUUCAUCCACUGGUGUGAAUUCUGCAGGCCCAAUCUUGAAUAGCUGGGCUAAAACUCCAAUUCCUCAUCUUCAGUGAUUUUCUACAGAUUUUUUCCCCAAGGCAUAUCAACAAGAUUUCAGCAUAAGGGGAAUUCCCAUCCUCUAAUAAAAGAUGCACUGAGAGAUUUAUUUUGGUACUGAAAGGCUGUUCUUGUGACCAGCACAGAAGCUUUGACAAUAAGACUACUCCUCCUUUCUGCC